GAGGAUAUAGCUCAGUGGUAGAGUGUGUGCUUAGCAAGCACAAGGUCUCGGGUUCACUCCCCAGUAUCUCCA
rfam:Camelus ferus unplaced genomic scaffold scaffold1613, whole genome shotgun sequence.